GAUGAACGCUGGCGGCGUGCCUAAUACAUGCAAGUCGAGCGAAGCGGGGACGGGUGAGUAACACGUGGAUAACCUACUAUAAGACUUGGAUAACUUCGGGAAACCGGAGCUAAACCGGAUCCUUAUAGUUGGAUCUUCGCUGCAUUAGCUAGUUGGUAAGGUAACGGCUUACCAAGGCAACGCUGCAUAGCCGACCGGAGAGGGUGAUCGGCCACACGGGAACUGAGAAACGGUCCAGAUUCCUACGGGAGGCAGCAGUAGGGAAUCGUCCGCAAUGGGCGAAAGCCUGACGGAGCAACGCCGCGUGAGUGAUGAAGGUCUUCGGAUCGUAAAACUCUGUUAUUAGGGAAGCGGUACCUAAUCAGAAAGCCACGGCUAACUACGUGCCAGCAGCCGCGGUAAUAC
rnacentral:rRNA from 1 species